rnacentral:rRNA from 1 species
UAGCGGCGGACGGGUGAGUAACACGUGGGCAACCUGCCCUGUAGACGGGGAUAACACCGAGAAAUCGGUGCUAAUACCGGAUAACACGAAAGACCGCAUGGUUUUUCGUUGAAAGGCGGCGCAAGCUGUCGCUACAGGAUGGGCCCGCGGCGCAUUAGCUAGUUGGUGAGGUAACGGCUCACCAAGGCGACGAUGCGUAGCCGACCUGAGAGGGUGAUCGGCCACACUGGGACUGAGACACGGCCCAGACUCCUACGGGAGGCAGCAGUAGGGAAUCUUCCGCAAUGGACGAAAGUCUGACGGAGCAACGCCGCGUGAGCGAAGAAGGCCUUCGGGUCGUAAAGCUCUGUUGUUAGGGAAGAACAAGUACCGCAGUCACUGGCGGUACCUUGACGGUACCUAACGAGAAAGCCACGGCUAACUACGUGCCAGCAGCCGCGGUAAUACGUAGGUGGCAAGCGUUGUCCGGAAUUAUUGGGCGUAAAGCGCGCGCAGGCGGUUCCUUAAGUCUGAUGUGAAAGCCCACGGCUCAACCGUGGAGGGUCAUUGGAAACUGGGGGACUUGAGUGCAGAAGAGGAGAGCGGAAUUCCACGUGUAGCGGUGAAAUGCGUAGAGAUGUGGAGGAACACCAGUGGCGAAGGCGGCUCUCUGGUC